CUAACCCAGAGCACUAUCAACAAGCAUCACGUCCUUUUUCGAAAACCUGAGGCAGGAACACUGGCAUCUUAGGUAUCGGCUAAUGGACAAGGCAGUGUUAAUUUGGACGAUGGGUCCUCCAGAAGGUCCUGAAGUCAUUUCUUGGAGGUGUUUACUUGUUCUUUCAGCAAGCCAGGCAGACUCUGGUUGCUGCUUCUACACACUCUUCAAACGCCCAUAUCUGCCUGGACACGCAGGUUGUUCGGGGGCCUUAGCAGAGAAUCUGGGAAGACCAGGAUAGAAGACACGCAGG
rnacentral:lncRNA from 1 species